AUUGAACGCUGGCGGCAUGCCUUACACAUGCAAGUCGAACGGUAACAGGUCUUUCGGGCUGCUGACGAGUGGCGAACGGGUGAGUAAUACAUCGGAACGUGCCUAGUAGUGGGGGAUAACUACUCGAAAGAGUGGCUAAUACCGCAUGAGAUCUAUGGAUGAAAGCAGGGGACCUUUGGGCCUUGUGCUACUAGAGCGGCCGAUGGCAGAUUAGGUAGUUGGUGGGAUAAAAGCUUACCAAGCCUACGAUCUGUAGCUGGUCUGAGAGGACGAUCAGCCACACUGGGACUGAGACACGGCCCAGACUCCUACGGGAGGCAGCAGUGGGGAAUUUUGGACAAAGGGCGCAAGCCUGAUCCAGCAAUGCCGCGUGCAGGAUGAAGGCCUUCGGGUUGUAAACUGCUUUUGUACGGAACGAAAAGUCUUGGGUUAAUACCCUGGGAUCAUGACGGUACCGUAAGAAUAAGCACCGGCUAACUACGUG
rnacentral:rRNA from 1 species